UACGUAGGGCGCAAGCGUUAUCCGGAAUUAUUGGGCGUAAAGAGCUCGUAGGCGGUUUGUCGCGUCUGCUGUGAAAUCCGGAGUCUCAACCUCCGGCCUGCAGUGGGUACGGGCAGACUAGAGUGCGGUAGGGGAGAUUGGAAUUCCUGGUGUAGCGGUGGAAUGCGCAGAUAUCAGGAGGAACACCGAUGGCGAAGGCAGAUCUCUGGGCCGUAACUGACGCUGGAGUGCGAAAGCAUGGGGAGCGAACGGG
rnacentral:rRNA from 1 species